UACCCGCAGCUCAAGUGGUGGUCAUUAUUAUUGGGCCUAAAGCGUCCGUAGCUGGCCUGUUAGAUGCCUGGGUAAAUCGAUGCGCUCAACGUAUCGAAUUCCGGGUAGACCGGCAGGCUCGAGACCGGGAGAGGUGUAGGCUACUCGAGGGGUAGGGGUAAAAUCCUGUAAUCCUUCGGGGAGGACCAGUGGCGAAGGCGCUACACUAGAACGGCUCUGACAGCGAGGGACGAAGCCCUGGGGCGCAAACCGG
rnacentral:rRNA from 1 species